ensembl:snRNA Gm26139 predicted gene, 26139
GUGCUUGCUUUGGCAGCACAUACAAUAAAAUUGGAAUGAUAGAGAGAAGAUUAACACAGUCCCUCAACAAGGAUGACACACAAAUUUGUGAAUCAUUUCAUAUUUUU